rnacentral:rRNA from 1 species
GAUGAACGCUGGCGGCGUGCCUAAUACAUGCAAGUCGAGCGAAUGGAUUAAGAGCUUGCUCCUAUGAAGUUAGCGGCGGACGGGUGAGUAACACGUGGGUAACCUGCCCAUAAGACUGGGAUAAAUCCGGGAAACCGGGGCUAAUACCGGAUAACAUUUUGAACCGCAUGGUUCGAAAUUGAAAGGCGGCUUCGGCUGUCACUUAUGGAUGGACCCGCGUCGCAUUAGCUAGUUGGUGAGGUAACGGCUCACCAAGGCAACGAUGCGUAGCCGACCUGAGAGGGUGAUCGGCCACACUGGGACUGAGACACGGCCCAGACUCCUACGGGAGGCAGCAGUAGGGAAUCUUCCGCAAUGGACGAAAGUCUGACGGAGCAACGCCGCGUGAGUGAUGAAGGCUCUCGGGUCGUAAAACUCUGUUGUUAGGGAAGAACAAGUGCUAGUUGAAUAAGCUGGCACCUUGACGGUACCUAACCAGAAAGCCACGGCUAACUACGUGCCAGCCGCCGCCGUAAAAC